GAUGAACGCUGGCGGCGUGCCUAAUACAUGCAAGUCGAGCGAACAGACGCGGAGCUUGCUCCUCUGACGUUAGGCGCGGACGUGUGAGAAACACGAGUAACACCUCCCUAUAAUACUGGGAUAACUUCGGGAAUCCGGCUCUAAUACCGGAGAAUAUCUUGCACCGUGGUGUGCAAUAGUGAGUGACGGUUUUGCUGUCACUUAUCGAGGGUUCCCCGCCGCAUUGGCUAGUUGGUAAGGUCACGGCUUAUCAAGGCUACGAUGCGUGGCCGACCUGAGAGGGUGAUCGGCCGCACUGGAACUGAGACACGGUCCAGACUCCUACGGGAGGCAGCAGUAGGGAAUCGUCCGCAAUGGGCGGAAGCCUGACGGAGCGACGCCGCGUGAGUGAUGAAGGUCUUCGGAUCGUAAAACUCUGUUAUUAGGGAAGAACCAAUGUGUAAGUAACUAUGCACGUCUUGACGGUACCUAAUAAGAAAGCAACGGCUAACUACGUG
rnacentral:rRNA from 1 species